ACAAAAUUUGGACCAUUGGUCUACUGAGCAAUUUCACCCGCUCGGUGGAAGAUUACUCUUUGUCUU
rnacentral:pre_miRNA from 1 species